AAACCGCUGCCUCUUGCAGAUGUUACAAUAGCAAUGGCUGUUGAAAGACUGCAGGGAGAGAAAAUGAGAUCUGAUGACAGGAAAGUGGAAUUGAUUUCAUGCUUAGCAAAAUGAGGGUUUCAGCAGAGGACCUUUUUGUGGCGAGGCUACAGAAUCAGACGGAACGUUUGUCUGGGCAACUGGGAGAUUUACAGUUUUUCAUGCAGCCAACCAAGACAUUGGGGUUAGCAUCAUUCCAAAUGGCUGGCAAAGAUUGCGUGGAACUGUCAGUGUAGGACAGGAAAGGCAGGUAUAUGUUAGGGAGGGCAUCCAUCGGUGAGUUCUGACUGGAUGUGAGGACCUGUCACACUUGACCAGAGAUGAAGGCUGCAACACAUUCCUGGGUCAGAGGACUCCAUGUUGGACACCAAGACCUGGAGAAGUACCAUCCUGGAUGGCUGUGGUGAUGACCUAGUCAUUUUCCACGGGAUGUCUUUAGAUGUUGGACCUUGCCAAACUGUACACAUGCCUCAAUGGCUGCUACGUCACUCUGCCCAACAGGACAUGGUCACCGAGAUUUUUUUAAAUGGACUUUACUUUCACAACUUCCUUACUUCUAGCCACUAACACUAAAUAUGGCUAAUGUAUAAAAAUAUGCCACUGAACAUUAGACUACUUUGCUUUAAAAUGCCUUCUUUUAACUACAGAUGUAUUUUUACUAUUUUAUUUCAUCUGGCUUUUCAUUUUACCUUUUAAUUCUGUCCUUACCAUUUCACGCUUAAAGGUUUUAUUUUUCUACUAUGGAAAGCACUUUGUAGAGUUGUUUUGAAAAGUGCUAUUCAAAUAGUUAUUUAAACAGUGUGGCACAACCAUUAACACCAGCAGCAAUAUGAGCAGCCACACAUGCAGUGCUAAUAUUUCUGACUGUCUCAGCCUCAGGUAGGUGAUGUGAUGAAUCACAGCCAGAUAAUGCUCCACACAUUAGUGCAGGAAAACAUUCAGCAGUUAAAUAAAACACCAAGGUGCGAGGCACAGAUGUACAAGAUGUUUCCCAAAGUAAAGAUCAGACUUGGGACAACCGAGCGGUAGACAAAGAAGUCAGUGGCUUGUUGCAAGCUGCAAACACUGGUGACCCAAGAUGGAGAGAGGGGCGAGGAGAUGAUUCUUCCAGUCUCAGCAUCCAGUGCAUCAUGAAUUCGACAGGAAGAAGAGAUGACCGACAUUUUGGUUGUGUGAUGAUGCUUUUGUGGAGAAGGGGGCUGAUUUACAGUAUUUUUAUUGUUUUUCUCUUCUCUAAUCCUAGCAGGUUUGGUACAGAUCGGAACAGGAUUGGCAAAGUUGUAACAGUUUUUUUUUUUUAGUACAUUCUGCCACCACCAGGAGGCGUUGUUGUAAAAAUGUACCGUAUUCAGCAACAUAGUCAUCUUUAGCAACUACCCAUCAUCAAUCAUAGGAAGUUUGGUUGGGAUUGGACCUUCCAUUGUGAAGUUAUAAGAGUUUUGUUGUCUGUUGCGAAAAAUCUGAAUUUGCGCCAACUUUGGCGCACCCUAUCUCAUC